AGCAGAGAACAGCCAGAACUUGACUAGAUUUCUGAAGCUGGACAUCCAUGGAAAGAGUGACAUGAAAUCCUAAUGAUUCAGUUACGGUUUGUGAACUCCUGAAACUUCCUAAGAUGAAGUUCCAGAAUGUCCCACCUCGGAAAAACUCUAAAGAUAAGUGGAAACACAACAAUUACUAAUAAAAUAAUGCCAAUCAUAAUAGCAAGUAGGAUUAUAUAUUGAACCGGAUCCAGGGGAGUCAAUGCAUUUAGGUUGUUUUUUAAAUCUCUGGCCAAUUCAUCAAUGUUCCAAGUGUCCAAGUGACUUUUACUAAUAUCUGAAAUUUCUGCCUUUGUAGCCUUAAUAUUUGCUAUAUCCUGCCCUAUUGCUGAGACUACUACUUCUAAGACAUUAACCUUUGCCUCCAAUUUUUUAU